rnacentral:lncRNA from 10 species
AAGAAAGAAAGGCUGAGGUGAAUUGGGGCCCUAUGAAGAUAAAAGGGACGGCCCGUGCUCGGCCUGCAGCUAAUCCAAGGCACUGUCCCUUUCCAUCUGGAGCUUACAGUCCAGCGGAGGAGCCAAAGAAGUAAAAAGAGAUCUGCAAAAUGAAAGUAUCACAAGAGAGGUCAACUCAAGAUGCUAUUUCCCAUCAGAACAGAAGUCACCCUUGACUAAAACCACAACUUUAAACUUGGCCCAACAUCCAGUGCCUUGUCCCCAGGGGUGCAAAUAUGGACUGGAAAGGACCCCAAUUUAUCUGCCCUGCCCUGAGGUCUGGGCUGGGAUAUAGCCCAGGUCUCAUCUAUCCUGAGGGGCCUUCCAGAUGGACACAUGGACAGCCAGUUCUGGCCCCCUGACUUACUCCUCUGUAGUGAAAACAGACUCAGUAAACACAAGCUGAAUUAAACUGGCC